GCCGGAUUAAUACCGCAUACGACCUACGGGUGAAAGCGGGGGAUCGCAAGACCUCGCGCUAUUGGAGCGGCCGAUAUCAGAUUAGCUAGUUGGUGGGGUAAAAGCUCACCAAGGCGACGAUCUGUAGCUGGUCUGAGAGGACGACCAGCCACACUGGGACUGAGACACGGCCCAGACUCCUACGGGAGGCAGCAGUGGGGAAUUUUGGACAAUGGACGCAAGUCUGAUCCAGCCAUGCCGCGUGCGGGAAGAAGGCCUUCGGGUUGUAAACCGCUUUUGUCAGGGAAGAAAAGUCUGGGGUUAAUACCUUCGGACGAUGACGGUACCUGAAGAAUAAGCACCGGCUAACUACGUGCCAGCAGCCGCGGUAAUACGUAGGGUGCAAGCGUUAAUCGGAAUUACUGGGCGUAAAGCGUGCGCAGGCGGUUCUAUAAGACAGAUGUGAAAUCCCCGGGCUCAACCUGGGAACUGCAUUUGUGACUGUAG
rnacentral:rRNA from 1 species